rnacentral:rRNA from 1 species
UACGGGGGGGGCAAGCGUUGUUCGGAAUUACUGGGCGUAAAGGGCUCGUAGGCGGCCAACUAAGUCAGGCGUGAAAUCCCCUCGGCUUAACCGGGGAACUGCGUCUGAUACUGGAUGGCUUGAGUUCGGGAGAGGGAUGCGGAAUUCCAGGUGUAGCGGUGAAAUGCGUAGAUAUCUGGAGGAACACCGGUGGCGAAGGCGGCAUCCUGGACCGAUACUGACGCUGAGGAGCGAAAGCCAGGGGAGCAAACGGG